AUUGAACGCUGGCGGAAUGCUUUACACAUGCAAGUCGAACGGCAGCACGGACUUCGGUCUGGUGGCGAGUGGCGAACGGGUGAGUAAUAUAUCGGAACGUAUCCAAUAAUGGGGGAUAACUAAUCGAAAGGUUGGCUAAUACCGCAUACGCCCUACGGGGGAAAGCUAGGGACCUUCGGGCCGUGGCGUUAAUGGAGCGGCCGAUAUCUGAUUAGCUAGUUGGUGAGGUAAAGGCUCACCAAGGCGACGAUCAGUAGCUGGUCUGAGAGGACGACCAGCCACACUGGAACUGAGACACGGUCCAGACUCCUACGGGAGGCAGCAGUGGGGAAUUUUGGACAAUGGGCGCAAGCCUGAUCCAGCCAUUCCGCGUGAGUGAUGAAGGCCUUAGGUUGUAAGCUCUUUCACCCACGACGAUGAUGACGGUAGUGGGAGAAGAAGCCCCGGCUAACUUCGUGCCAGCAGCC
rnacentral:rRNA from 1 species